GGAAGUCUAGAUUUUGCAAAAAUCAGGUUGACUUCAUCAGACUUUGCCUUAUGCUUUGAUGGGUGAUUCUUCAUGCAUGAGAGGGAGGUGUGCUUUUUUCAGAGAUUAUUUACUGGGUUAUUACAGAAACCACAUUUCAUAAAUGGGGAUCACGCUGGUAGAAAUAAACAAUUAGCACAACAAGAAUUCUGCAACCUUCCCUUGCCAGCUGUGUGUAACAUAACACUAAAAUUAUAAACUAGAAGGAUCUAUCAUGAACAAUCUGCAUUGUCACUUUGACCCCUCUUUUACGCUGUUGCGUGAUUGAGAUUCCCAAUGUGCAGGACAUGAGGUAUGCAAGACUGAAAGCAAGGCUUGCUCCAACCUGCAGCCUUCUGAAUGGCUCACAAGAAAGAAGAAGCUGGUGAUAUUAAUGCCUCUCCUCUGCACUGCCUCUCUCCUGCCUUCCCUGACAAUGCGCCCCAGGACAUGAGGAGCUCUCUGCCAGUCUUCUACUUGGUGGUAAUUUUCAGCUGCUUGAACAUUUUUUUAGCCAUUGCUGAAGGAAAAAAACUUAAAAUUGAUAUAGUGAUUGAUUCUGCUGUUUUUAGAACUGUCUACUGCAUCCUGAACAUUUUCCAUGCAUCAGUGACUGGGAACAUUUUAAGCUGGCGUCAAAGAUAGAGUCUGUGGGGAAGUCUGCACACAAAUAAUACUUCUUCAUUGUUCCUGCUCAGCAGUGAUCAUGCCUUUUGCAAGCUGCUUCACCCAUUGCAGCAGAAGACUAAACUAAAAAUAAUCAAUCAGAACUUUUUUCCCUAAGCAAUCUAUAUUCUCAUUUUCAGAGCCAAUGUACCACUAGAUGAAAGAAAGAGAAAGUGCUCGACUCCAUUAGCACCAGCCAUCCAGUAGAGCUCGAUUUGGAAGGCGUGUGAUAACAUCCAUGUAAGGAAGCCUAGGAGAGGCCACACAGGAAGAUUAUAUAAAUGAGAACCACAGCUGUAGAUGAAUAAUGAAAUACAAUGAAAUGGGCUAGAGGAUACUGACUAUCCUUUGGCAUAAGGAAACAAUCAAACUUCUGCAAGCCUUUAUUCAGGAAAAAUGCCCUGACAUCAGCCUAUAUAGACAACAAUCUGCAAGAGUGGCAUAAAAAAAUAACUCCAGAUCUUGAAGUAGUCUCCUAAGCAGAGACACUUAAAAAACAAAGGUAGUCUUUGAAAGUGUAGUGACUAUAGUUCCCAUUCAAGUCAAACCCUAAUCUCCUAGGAGAAGAAGGUGAACAGGAAGGAGUUGUACACAACGUUUGAGCUUAUGGAUUUGGUCAGGGUCAUUAAAAUGGUGAAGGCCUUCUUCACAGGCCAGCAGAGAAACAAGCAGAGUGAUAAUCUGUUUCUGAAGACACUCUGGGAGAAGCAUUUCCCAGGUAUAUGUGAGCAACCAAGAUGUAUAUCCAUCCCGUCAAACUGGAUCUGGAGGUAUCACAACUGUGGGAACUACCGUGGCUACUCAUGUAUACUCAGCUGUGCAGUAUCUGCCAGCAGCUCUGGGCAUGGCCCUAGGCAGCAGAGAGCUGUGCAAGGCAAGGAACAAACAGAUAAUUUUUGUCAGUGACUUUUUUCCUCUGCAUUUGGUCUGAGUAAGAAAUGGUAGGAAGGGAAAGGUGAAAGCAAAGUAUAGUAAUAUGGAAAGAUACUGAGAAUACAGAUACUCUUGACCUUGCCUAUACAGAAGCUAGAAGGAGGACAAUAAUCUAGAAGUGGUGCAAAAAAGGGAAUUUACUCAUAAAGAAAAAGUAAAGAAAGAGGCUAGAAGUCCAGAAGGAAUAUGAUUUUUAGUGAAAACCCCUCUAAAAAGUAGUUCCCUUGGGAAAGAGCUGGUUGCUGCAUUCAGAUAUCUUUGACUAUCUCUAGGAGCUCUCAUAGCUGCUACCUCUUGGACCACAAAUGGGUAAAUUCCACUUACUGGCUCUGUAAGAAAUCUUAGGUGUCAAACCCGAGAAAUUCACAUAGCAACCAGGUUUUGGAAAGGAAAAGAGUUUAGGUCCCCACAAAAAGCUCAUUGUGGAUGUUUUUAUGGAGAAGGAGAGUGAAACUUUCAGGCCUUCAAGUACAGGCCAGAGAAUUUCAGCAAUGUAACACCUGGAUCUUGGAGGGACAGCUAAGCUGAAGCCAGUAGACAUGGAGAAUGCUCUCAAUCCCUGUAAAUGUGCAUACAAUUCUAAUUUUGCUUUCAUAAUUUCUGAAAAUAGCCUCUGAUGAAAGAAAAGUGCUAUGUUGAGUGUCCUGUAUGCCCUCUAUACAUCUUUACUGCCUCUAUUUGCACACUUUAGAAACAAGAUAAUUCUGCUUGUCCUCACAUUUGAAUAUUGAGCAGGAAAUCCUGUUUACCAAGUUACUACUUUUCUGGGUAAAGAGUUCCUUUGCUAGCUCUUUACUCCUGGGACAGACAGAGCUCUAAGGAAAAAGAAUAAUUUGCAGCACAUAAUUUAUUUGGCAAAAGUUAGCCUUUUGCUCUUUUUUUCCAUGAGCGCAGCAGCAGCAUGGUUUCUUGAAUGUACUCAUUAUUCAAAUAUAUUCUCUGAAUAAACAGCUGAACACUCUGUACUGUCAGAUUUUGCCAUGACAUGUUGACUGGUGAUGCAUCCCUCCAAAGGCUUGGCUGAUCACUCUGAGGUUGAGAACGUUUAUGCCCAGAAAAUAUCCUGCUGUGGUUUGUAAUUUUCCUCUGAGCCCGUCUCCCUCUCUGGUUCUGAAAGGCUGAUCUGUGUGAUUAUAAAGGCUAAACUGAGAUGCAGGUGGUGGGAGGGGGCAUCAAAGAAAAGCCUACUAUUCUGCGCUACUGUAGUGUCUGAUAGGACAAGCAGUCUCAUAUCAAGAGAGUUUUUCUCUGUUUCAUUAUUCAGUAGGAAUUUCUGGAGAGAGAUGGAGAGUAAGGAAAGGCAGAGUUUUGUAUAUCCUGAAGCCUGACUAACUUGCUCUGAUGGUGGUGGUCUUUUCUACCUAGAGAAGACUUCCCUUUCUGCCUGCAUCUCAAGUCAAGCUGCUGUGUCACAAGUCCAGGGUGGGAAGAUCCGUCAACUAUCUCUUUGAGCAGUGCAGGCAGAGCUGGGAUGGCCCAGGCAUGUGGGAGAAGUUGGCAGGGUGCAAGGGAAUGAGGUAUUGCCAUCGGCACAGUCACAGGAAGCAGCUGGCAGGAGAGAGGAACCCAGUCAAGGCCAGUCCUUUGUCAUCGGAAAGAGUGGAAAAAUGCAUAUGUUUCCUUAUCUAACACCUACACCAAACAGGCUCAGGAGACUGUGCGUAAGACUGUUGCGGUGGCAACACUGACAGCCUCAUUGUCUAUCAUAUCUCUUGUUCAGUAACUUUGACUUUAACCUUGGACAAAGCAAAAAUGUCAAUAUAUGUUGGACACGCCACAGUUGGAAGACGUCACCUGCCUGAGCAUAAGAAGCAAAAUCAACAGUAAGAUAAAAGCUUGAACACAAGCUGAUCUAAGUUGGCAGUUCUUUACCUUCACUGUUCUGAAGGCAAAUGCACAUUCUGCAUCACAAAUUGAAUUUAGAAAAAAAAACACAGAUAGAUUAUUUGUGCACAGAAGCUAUAGUAUUUUUUCCUUUUAUAAGCUUUAUAAUAACGCAUAACUUUCCUUGCUAGCUAAUGUGGUUAUUAUCAAAGGCAGGUCUUAACUCUGGUGAAAGUGAAAGACACUACCAGGACUCCAAUUGAACAGGGCACAUCAAUUGUUAUAACCUCAAAUCAUCAAAUGAUGGUUAUCAGUGUUCACACUGGGUCUGGAGCUGAAAAGCACCAAGUAGUUUAAACAUAGAGGGGCUCCCUGCAGGGUAGUUGCAAUUUUUCUCAUCUCUCACAACCAUGUCCCAUCACAACAGGAAGCCCUGGAAAGAAGGGAAGGGUUGGUUAUACCAGUGCCUGUUUCUAUUCUUCAAGAGAAGCUUCUGUGUAAUGUAAACAGCUCUCUAUAUCAACAGCAAGGAUUGCAGAGGGUGCAGAUUUAAAAAAAAACAACUCCGCCCCAGACAUCUUGAUUGCAGAUGUUAUUAAAUGAUUCUCUGGUUCUGGAAAUACUCAUCCUGGCUGCAUGUUGGUCAUAGAAUACAUUCUGUUCUCAUGGUUUUCUGACUCAAAGAAUGGAAGAAGUGCAUCAAAAUCUAACAAGGAAGAAAAACACAUCUAUAUGUGGUGAUAGUUCUCCCUAUCUUUUGGUCUGGGAGUCAGGUUCCUGCCGGAGGCGGCCUGUAUGAGGGGCAGUGAAAGUAAUUAUUCUGUCAGCUUAAAUGUGAUUUUCUUCUAUGUGUCUAUUUCUCAUGAUGUCAGUUGACUAAUCUGUCAGUCAUCUUUGCUUGGCCUGUGGCCAUGUGAUGCUAUAUGCUGACGUACAUGCUUUAUUGUCCUAGCCUAAGAGAAAAUUGAAAAAGGCUCCAACUUAAACCUUGUUUCUUCAUCUAUGUGUUGUAUUUUUCUUUUGCUUCAUCUUACCUGUUCCUCCUUUUCUUGACUCAUUUCUUUCUUACUCAACUUAUUUUUUUUCUCCUCCCUGACUCAGUCUUUCCAUUAAUUUGUUAUCUUGGUUCAUCUCACUUUUUCUCUCCCACACCAUGGUUCCACUCCACCCUUUUCACAUCCCUCCAACCCAUCUCCUCAUUGUUUCCACAUCAGGGUCUACCACACAGACCACUUUGCCUUUGCCUUUGCCUCUUUUACCACACGGUGCUCCUCUCAGUCCUCCUAUGCUGGAUAUGAGCCAUUCCAAAGAAAAAGAAACAAAAGAAAUCAAAACUCACACAUUUUUACCUUAACUGCCCUGAUUUUCUCAGAAAAACUGGGGCCAAUCUAGAGAUUGUUAUAGGUUACAUGUAAAACUUCCCUGUACUAGUGAGUUUUACACUUUUUCUCAGUGGUACCAGGAUUUCAUCAUAAAGGAUUUCACUUGAACACCCCCAAAUGGCAAGUCCACUUUAUUUAUUACCUCAUUCUUCUCCCUGAUUUGAGAUUAAAACAUUGAGUCUCAAACAGAAAUCGUGAGAAUUUUAUUUGCGGAACAAUAUCUUAGCUAGAGCCUAGCUGGAUGGGAGGAGGAUUAAAGAUGAAGGCUUAGCAUGACAAUGGUUGAAAUCAGUAGGACAGCUAUCAGAUUCCUCUAACUGAAGCCAAAAUACAUAUAUGUUUUUUGUUAGCUUGGGAUGCUGGGAUUGUAAAAAUAAAAAAAUAAACUAUUUCACCCACAUCUGCUUUGAGACCCAUCUCAACACAGAGUGGCCAUGUGAGAGAUUUGGAUAUAGGUGUUCCUAUGUCAGAAAUUAAAUAAUCAGGUGCAGCAGACGUUCACAUUAGCAAGCUGGGAGGGGGGAUUAUGGGAAUGCAUUCCUCACACAGACUAUAUCUAUACUUCAGAUUUCACAUGGGCAAUGUGUUUUCCCGUCCGGAUGGAGGUCAGUUUUAUAUGAAUUCUGGUCUCGGUGACCAGGAGUGGAGACAUAAAAAGAACUAUUCAGUGUCUCUGGUUACAGAGAUAAGUGAAAGAGUCAUUGGAAAUAACUCUGUAAUAAUAGCAGCAGUAAGUACUGGGCAUGAUUUGAAUCUCUUGAUAGUGAUACUGGGAUGCCAGAAUAUUUAUCAAGCCAUUAGGAGAGGCUGUGCCUAGCUGAUAAGAUGACUACAACUGAUGAAGUCCACCUGAAGGCUCUGAUGGUGCUGGGGCAGAUUUGCAGCCAACAACGGCAGAUAGCAGGGAGUGCUGCCCUUAAGAGCGGCAUGUACCAUUCGUCAGCAAAAGUAUACCAUCUCCUGCCUGGGGCAAGCUUUUGGAAUUUUUAAUAAAUGCAGUAAAGAAACAUCUUGAUGUAUACUUUCCUGAUGGCUGGGGAGCCAGUAAGAGCCUGCCCUGCCAAGAAACACUUUCAAUGAGUUGGUGGCAGAGGGGAGGGGGCUGGGAGAAGUUGGUAGAGAAUCACUUCCAAAAGUGAUUAAUCCAGGGCCUCAUUUUAAAUUAUCUCUAUAUCAAAUUACCAAACUUGUGAUGGUUCUGUCUUUGGAAGAUGAAAUUGCCCCAUUUAUAUAUUUCAAUGUCUCUUAGUGUCAUCAAUUAAAAAAAAACAUUCUGUCAUUUUGACUGGAACUAGAUUUGGAACAGAUUUUUUGCUAUAAUCAUCUGUAAGCAACAUGAAUGGGGAAGGAUUUGACUCCGCUUUUCUGAUGUUUAAUCAGCCCAUGUGCUGUAUCAUGGAUGAGAUCAGGUGCUAGCACUUAAGUUAAGAAGUGUUUUUCUUUGAGUGGCUUUUGUUAGUCAAGGUUUUAAUAACUGUAGAAAGAUUUUAUUGCUUAUUUUGCCCCAAUUGCUUAUUAUCUGCUCAAGUAAAGCACUGAAGUUAAUGCUGGCAUUUGUUUUUUCCUUCUUGCUUUGCUGUGUAACUUCCCUCUGCUCAUGAUCGGAGCCCUCUGGAAUGUGGAAACUGGUGUGGCCGUCAGGCUAUGCAAGUUCAAGACAUUUUCUGUAUUUCUGUGUCUCUGUGUGUGUAGAGACAUAGAGAAUUCAGCAUAAACAGACAAUUUUUUCCUUAAAGGUAUUUUAAAGAUUAUAACAAUGAAGUACUUACAAAUAAAAAGGUUUUGUGCUGUUUA